AGAUGGAGGCGCAGGAUUCAUCAGUAGUCUAUGUGAGGUUCGACUAUCCGUUGAUCAUAGAUGAAAGGGGCUCUUGCCGAAACAAAAAAAGGCUGUCGUUUUUUUUGUUGAGGAUAUGCAAAAUAUGUAUAUCCUUGUCACAGGUGU
rnacentral:ncRNA from 1 species